UGUCCACAUUUUGCUAUUGUAGCUUUGAAACACUGUGUCUUGUUGUUACUAGAUGCAUGGUGGCUACAAGUUCUGUCCUUCUCAAUGACAACAUUCGCAUUGUUGCAUGCCUGUUUGGCUAAGAAGAGAGAAGGGGGUAAUGAAGAGAUCCAGUCAUGGAUGAUGUCUUUUCACUACAACCCAGCGUCACGUAUAAGUCUUCAAGCAAUGAACUGAGUUAACUCCAGGACAAGGCUUUUUGUCUCCAUUUAUGAAUGCCGUUCACCAUUCUGUAAGACAGUAUCCUCCCUGUUCACAUGCCUUCCAGUUAACACAAUACUAAAUAACAUAUUGAGAUCAUUGCUAUUGGAUCUGUCACUGUCAUUUUGGAAUAACAAUUUUCUUAGGUCUUUCUCAUAAUUUUGAUUCAGAAAUGUGCACUGAAAGAUUUACCCAUGCCUGUAAUACUGAAGAACCAGUGAUGGACUAUUUGUCUGGCUUCAUAAAGCUUUCCCCAGACUCAAAAGCUAUAAUAUCAAAGAGUACAGUGAACCAUAUUAGUCUUCUCUUCUCCUCAUGAGCAACGAUAGCAAUACCUUUUCCACAGGGCCACUCAAGCUCUUCUUUUCUCAGGCCAAUUCAGGAGGAAGUGAUGGAUCAGAAUCCUGUUGAAAUCCUAGAGGAAGGGGGAAAAAGCCACAAAGGUCUUCAGAUAUGCUCUGAGGAUUGCUGAGUGAGCAACUUGGAGGGAAAACUCCCUCAUCAUAGUCUUGUUGUUACUCUUGUCCCAAUCUCUGCUGGACAGCUCCCAAGCCUCCUACCUCAGUUUCUGCUGUUGUUGCUGAGAUCCUGUUGGACAGUUCUCUGGCUGCGAUAAAGUGCAUAUUUUCAACCUUCAGUUAAACUUUCAAAACACAAACACACCAUUUCUGGAUGAGUUUUAUGGUUUUCCUUUUAAUGAAAAUCCUAUCCAUGGAAGGAAAGUCACUUUCAAGUGUUUCUUCCCUAAAGCUAAUCCCCCAAAGAAAAUAUGCAUAUUUUAAGUAUAGGGGAGCACCCUGAUUGUUUGUUUCUAUUUUGUGCUGCUUUUCUGAAACUUUCAAAGGUGAAGAACAAAAAAAAACCUGUGACAAAAAUAAGCAAUAAAAAUAAAUUAUAAAAACAACAUGAAAAUGUAUAAAAAUAAUAUUAGCAUUCAAAUGAAAAAGAUGUGUCUUAAGCAUGUUUUUGAAUGUAGAGAGAGCGUGGGCCAUUUGCAACUUGAGAGGAAUGCAGUUCAGACUUGGGAAGUGAUGUGGUAGAAACCGCUUUUCUGUGUAGCCAAGAGGGCCCUCUCCUGUUGCGUUUAAUAACUAGGCAAGUUCAUGUAAAGAUGGGAGGUUCGUCUGAUAGUUGGCCCCAAGCUUCUUACAGCCAUAAAGGUUAAAACCAAACCCCAAACCUUGAACUAAAAUUGAAAAACAUUAGACACCUGAUCCUUGAAAAAUCAUGCCUCACUUUGUAAAGUACAGUAGAGUCUCUGUUGUGACUGCGCCUUCGGGGAUUAUGGUUGAUGGUGAUGGGAUCCGAAGAGGAAGAAAAACCCUCGUGAUGAGGGUUCACUGGAGGAGUUGCACAGGAAGCGACUUAGAGAGCUUAAUGGGGGAUCUUCUGAGGAAGAUUCAGAUGGGGAGUUUGGGGAAAUGGAUGUUGAGGAACAGGUGGUGGCUGGGGAAGUGGGCACUGAAUGGGCACAGCCACCGGAGAUGUAUGGGGAUUUGGGGCCUAUGGAUACUGCUGAACCUGGGGUUUCUGCAGGAGCAGAUCCCACUUGGGAUGCUUGGAGAAGGGAGGAUGGUUCUUUAAGUGUUCAUGGGGCUAAGUGUGGGCAGGAUGAUUGGGAAUCCGAUGAACUGUUAGGCACUCCUGAUCCACGAGCCCUAGCUGUGUGGAGUUCGGACUCUGAGUAGAUUUGGGACACCUGGUGUUUGGGUGUGAGUGUUUGGUCACCCAAGAGGAAGGGGAAUAAAAUGGGAAUGUUUGGCCACUGCACUUCGCUUGUGGCAAGGUGUUGCUGAGGUGCCAUUGGGAUCUCUGUGCUUUCGUGAAGACUGGACUUGGACUGUGAUUCGGAUCUGCUGAUACCAUCGUUGCUUGGCUCUUUGUGCCUUUUCGUGGACCUGGUUUGGAUGACUGCACCCUCUUCGGACUCUGGAUUGGAAUUUGACCUGGCUUCUGUCUUCGCCCUCUGACUGACGACUACUCCCGGCUUUUGACUACUGGUUUGCCCUUCGGAAUUUGCUGCUGCCUCCUGACCUGACCUUGGAUUCUCCUGACGACGGCUAUUCAUCAUCCCUUUGAAGCUCUCGGCUUUAUCUGCACCGUGGAAGCAGUUUACUGCACUUCUAGUUUG